UGAAAAUACUUCCAAAUUAUGUUUAUUGUACAGUACAGAAAAAGAAAUUUAUACGGCAGCUAUUCUUGAUGCUUUAGGACAUAAAUGUAGAAGAACACAGUGUUUCAUUGUGUGUUGUGGUUUAUCUUGGUGUGGCACAGAGGCGGUAAGGUUUGGGAGCGUGAGUAGCUCCCAGGACAAACUCCAGACUGGGUUUCUCUCCAGGAGGUGCCGAGAAUGAAAACCUCUGAAGGAGGGAGGUGAAAAAGAGGAAUAACUCCAUCUUGGCCAGAGGUUCACCAAGACAAACCCGCUU